rnacentral:ribozyme from 1 species
GUGGCACUUUCAUGCAUCCGAAGGAUCCAGAUGUACGUCAUCCAUCCGUACGUUUAGGAGCGUGUCCUCGGCCCGACACCCUCCUGGCAGCAAUGUUGAGGCAUGA